rnacentral:rRNA from 1 species
UACGUAGGGGGCAAGCGUUGUCCGGAUUUAUUGGGCGUAAAGAGCGUGUAGGCGGCUAGAUAGGUCCGUUGUGAAAACUCGAGGCUCAACCUCGAGACGUCGAUGGAAACCGCAUGGCUAGAGUCCGGAAGAGGAGAGUGGAAUUCCCGGUGUAGCGGUGAAAUGCGCAGAUAUCGGGAAGAACACCCGUGGCGAAGGCGGUUCUCUGGGACGGUACUGACGCUGAGACGCGAAAGCGUGGGGAGCGAACAGG